rnacentral:rRNA from 1 species
UACGAAGGGGGCUAGCGUUGUUCGGAAUUACUGGGCGUAAAGGGCGCGUAGGCGGCGUGUCAAGUCAGGCGUGAAAGCCCCGGGCUCAACCUGGGAACCGCGCUUGAGACUGGCAUGCUCGAGUUCGGGAGAGGAUGGUGGAAUUCCCAGUGUAGAGGUGAAAUUCGUAGAGAUCAGCAGGAACACCCGUGGCGAACGGUGCCGGCCCCUGGGCCGUACCUGACGCUGAGGCGCGAAGGCUAGGGGAGCGAACGGG